UUGACUUACCACCAGCAGGUAAACAGGGCAGCAAAAGAGGUGGCAAGAAAAGGGGCAUUCGAAGGGGCUAAGACUGGCAAAGGUGUGCAGGUGCACAGCAAGAAGGCAGUGAUCAGUUAUUAUCUUCCUUUGCCAGAUUGAAUGUGUCCUUUAGAGGAGGAGACAGAAAACACAACAAGCAGCAGAGAAAGCUCAAGCCCAUGGCUGUUGGCAAUGUGAACGCACGAGCUCAAGAGGAGGUUGCCCUGGAGAUGUGCUCGGCAUUCUCAGAAUCUGGGUGGGAAAGCUGCCCUGGAUAAUGGAUGAAAUCAUCCGGCUAAACAACAGGCUAUUGCAAUAAUAUUUUUGAAGAGCAGAGUAAAGGCUUUGCGUGGUGAUAAACAGCUAUAACACCAGCUUGGAAAGGCUGCGGAAGGAGAACUGCCAAGAACUCAAGGCUAGCCUGGGAUUCAUGAUGAGCUCAUUGCUGCCUUGUAUACCUGUGAAUAUAAAAUAGACACUGCACCUUUGGAGCAAUAGAACGCUGACUAAGACAAAGUCCAAGCGCCAACUUCUUAUGGCCCAGCAGUCAUUCAAAGCUACUGGCAAGUGAUGCUUGUGAUUCUUUCCUGGCGACACGUUGAUGGUGAAGAGGCAGAUGCUUUCUGUCAUCUUGUGUUGCUCUCCGCAGGAAAGGUGAGUUCUGGGUACGAUUUCAGGAUGCCUGAGAAAUCUAACCCUCCUAAAGUUCACAGAUGUCUUCCAGUGAUAAUGUGGGUUGCAGUUGGCUUUCCAGCCAGGUCCUGGGGUUCCUCAUUCAUGAAUUUAGCCAACUGUAGACCAAAUGCAUCUGGAAAAAUGUUUCUGGAGUGGGCAUUUUGUUAG